AAUUAAAUGGCUAGACCAAGUUAAUUUGCAUAUUUGAAAGGAAGAGGCUGCCGCGGUAUAUAAGGAAAAUUAAGGGCAAAAAGUGUGCAUUUACGGUGUAGCGUCUGAGCGAGUCGGUCGUCCCUAGCUGAGAGUGUGCCACGCCAUGAAGAUGUAUCUCAUGCUUCUCGUGGCCGUGAGUGGCCUGGCACUGGCGGACCAUUCUGCUGGCGGUGGACACGAGCAUGGUGGACACGGAGGAGGACAUGGGGGCGGAGGACACGGGGGCGGAUUCUCAGGAGGCCAUGGCGGAGGCAUUUCAUCCUCCUACGGCGCUCCUCCUCCUACUUCCUACGGCCCUCCACCCAAGGCUCCCCUACCCUCCUAUGGACCACCGCCCAAAGCACCCUCUCCUUCCUACGGUCCACCGCCCACCUCCUACGGCCCACCACCCGCAUCCUACGGCCCACCGCCCGCUUCCUACGGUCCACCCCCAAUGACCUACGGGCCUCCGCCGCAGCUGUAUUACUACGUGUCCAAACCUAACCAAGGAGGAGGCAAGGGCAAGGGCAAGGGCGGCUUCAGCAUGAGCACGCUCUUCAAGGCUGGUGACAACGCCAUCAAGGGCAUGAAGGGUGCCAUCUCGAAGGCUGGAGACUACGCUAUGCAGGGUAUGAAGGACACAUUCAACAAGGCUGGCCAGUAUGCUAUCAAGGGUAUGCAGGACAUGUACGAUGUUGGAGACUACGCCUUCAAGGGCAUGAAGGCUGGCUUCGACAAGAUGAAUGGAGCUAUCAAGGGCGGCUUUGAAGAAAUCGGCAGCAAAUUCAAGGGCUUAUCAAAGGGCAAGGGCGGCGACGACGACCAGGACUAUUACUAUGUUUACGUCCCUGCUCCAGCGCCAAGCUACGGACCUCCUCCUGCCACGUACGGCCCUCCCCCUGUCAGCUACGGACCACCCCCUACUAACUACGGGCCUCCACCCACCAGCUAUGGCCCUCCUCCAACUAGCUAUGGUCCCCCUCCCAAGGGUCACGGUGGUGGCCUCGGCGGUGGUCACGGCGGUGGUCACGGCGGUGGUCUCGGCGGUGGUCUCGGCGGUGGUCACGGCGGUGGCCUCGGCGGUGGUCUCGGCGGUGGCGUGUACGGUGCCCCGAAGCCUGAUGACAUUGUUAUCUCCGGCGGAUACGGCGCCCCACCUCCACCCUCUUCAAGCUACGGUGCUCCCCCUUCCAAAGGUGCGACCUAUGGUCCUAAGGGCAGCGGCAGCUUCUUAGGUCACCACUCUAAAUCUCGGCCCCAUGGCAGUCGCCCCAUUCCCGUACCCGCGUCGGUACCGUUGGUGCCCAACAACCUCGUUAUUCCCCGACCCCCUUCCGAGACCUACGACGCCCCCUGGCCCUUGCCGAGCGGCCGCAGGCCAGGGGGCAGCGGUGUGUAUGUCCCCACAUCCACUCCCGGCUUGUUCUCUUCCCCAUUCCCUACGACUACCCACUAUCCCUCGACUGUCCGACCUUUGACACACUCCCCUGACCACCACGGCAAGCCGUGCAUCCAUCACCAUGGAGGUUCCGGCCUAAGCCCAACACCCCUCCCCAUAACUCCGCUUGGCUCUACGCUUCAGCCCCCCCCAGAAUAUCCUCCAUAUCCCCCUACCUCAACAAUUACUAACUCCUUCGGGAGCGUGCCUAAAUUCAAUGACACAUAUUAUUCUUCCUUCGGAACACCCUCACGUCCCCCUCUCCCCUACAAGCCCUUCGCGACAGUCACUAAUCCCCCUCUGACUUACCCCUCCGACCCGUGCUCUCUUCCUCCAGCUUUUACUAGAACUAACGACGGCUCGCCUUGUCUUCAGCCUUUCCCUGGAUCAGUUUCCUCUUUUCCUGGUAACCCAAAGCAUUCCACAAUAUCAGACGAUGACUUCAUCAGUAUUCUUACUAACGACUUGAAUGGUGGUCAGCAUGAUGGCAGUAGGAGUCUGGAGCAUGCUGGGGGAUACAGAGACAGUAGACAAAGCUAUCCUCCGGGAGGGGCCUCCUUUGGGCAGGUGAUAUUGAAAGGACCAACACCUGACAGCAAGGAGGUCAACACACCAGCCACAAUUUUUGAAAACGGCUGGAGGUACAGUAAUUUUUCACUUCUUUUCCCGGCUACCCCUAAAACCCCAACUAGUCAGAGAAGUGGAAUAAACUUUCCACAGAAAGAUUUCCCAACUUCUACCCCUCGACCCUUCAUAACCACAACACGAGAAGGCACGGUUGUUCCCCAAGGCGUGUUACAUACCUCCCCCAGACCCCUCAUAACCACAUUAAAGGAUGGUAGGAUUGUUCCCUUCACCCCGAGAGUUACUCCAACAACUUUUAGACCCCCAACAUCUCGGCAAGGUAGAUUUGAUGUGUUUCACGAGCAGGUCACACCAUCCCGGGAACCCUUGACCGAGCCCUCCGUGUUGAGCCUUAAUCCAGCUUUUCCAGGGGGGUCAGACACUGUGAGCCACCACGGCCCCAACGUUCUGUGGAGCCUCCAGAAUUUCAAACGCCACGCCUCUCAGCAUCCUCCUGCUUUUAACCUUACUCAAUAUCUUAAUUCUUCUUCUGCCCUUACUCAACAAAACAAGGAUGGCUCCACCACAGCUCAACUCCCUUUGCCGACAGUGGUUAAGUUUCCUCUUCAGGGUGUCAAAUCCCAUAGCGAACGCAGUACUAACAUAAUCUCUAACCACUCCAUUCAGCCUCCAAGGACUCUGAGACCUCUGACAGAGACCACGACUGACGCUCCACAGACUGACGCCCCCUCAGCCUCCUCCUCGGAAGAGACUCAACGUGAGGAUCGGCACCGAGGGCUCCCGUCACCCUCCCGCGUCCCCAGCAGACCACGUCCCCAAGCGGCAUCCUAGAGCUCCUCCCCGCACACUGCUCCUAAAUCCUACUUUACCCAACCAUGCCUUUUGACCUAGAAUCCAAAUAUGCCCACUCUUAAUAUCCUUUACCUACACCCAAAACGACAAGCUAUGCCAACAUCCUCUAUCCUGUCUUCACCCUGAUCCAACAUCAUUUACUGUACCACAUCAACUUCAUGCCCCGCACCGCGUAAGGCCAAACGAUGGAAAACCUUGAAACUUCGAUGGACCACUUCUAACAAUAACUAAUUACUAUGUACAUUUGUGAUAAUAUUUGCAUUACACUUAGGAUAAUUAGUCAUUUUCAUAAUAUAAGUAGAUUACAUGUAUCCAAACCCAUAAUAUUCCACUCAUCUUUAUACACAUGGGAGAGUCGUUACAUAUUAGUGUUAUAAAGGUAACUUCACACAAGCAUACACUGACUGGCCCUACUGCCGGCACACCGCUGCCCUCUAGCGGCGACCUGUGGCGUCAGCAGCCUCGCUUCGAGGUGAGGACACGGGCACUAAGGCAGAGGAGGAGAAGGAGGAGGAGGUUUCACUAGUACGAAGAAGAGUACAAGUGGAUCAAACUUACGUCAUUGCCUGAACGGUGCUCAAGGUGAACCCUGUCCGGCUGCCACCAAGCUCUGGUAUCACGUGCCAGUGACGCCACGACGCCACGAGACUCCAGCGAGCAAGUGUUGCCAAUGGAAACAUCUUCCGAUGAAAAAAGAAAACUUAAGACUUCACAUCAUCAAAGAAAAGGCAAAUCUUAGCCCAUAAAUACAGAGACUAUAAAACUGUGAUUUCAUCUAUGGCAAUUUUUUCGUGUUAUAUAAGACGAAAAUUAUUCCUCAGGUCUAGUGCUAAACUCAAUAGUAAAACAACCCACACGGGGUCUGAAUUCUAACUUACAUCUUGAACAUCAUCCAAGAGAAGAAAUAUUACUUUCGAUUGACCAAAAUGAGCAAGAUGUAACUGCUGCUUCACUUGCUGCUUCAAGUUUAUUUGUUUCUGUUGAAAGUUGGUUGGCUCGGCGUCCGUCCCUGACACCUGAUACAAUAAUGUUAACUUAAUUAUCUGGUCAACCGUUCUGGUCAUUAGGGCCACAUCGGUUGACGUGUAAAUAUACUAUGUAACUGUUGAAUGUCACUAAUGCUUCCCUUCUAUGGCUCUAAUGAGACGCUGAAGACGCUAAAAUAGGCCGACAAUAAGUGAACUGGGCAGCCAUCGUCGCAGUUUACAAGUUCUCUUAACUUGGCAUUGUUUUAGUAAAUAGUAAUUGAACCAGUAUUACAUUUAAGAAAGAUUGUUUCGGGAUGCGUCUUUGCACCGCUCUGAACUUGGACGAGUUUACAAAAAAGGUGCGAGUCUCAUCACAGCUCAUUUUCCUACAAACAGACAGUCCGACAUUCACCGUCACUGCUCGCCCGCUGCGGUCUGCUGUCAUUCACUUUUUACUCUCUGUAGAUGCAUGUAAAUAUACUGGGAUGUUUCGUUGUUACUCCGUUCCAACAGCCACAGCUAAGGACCAGUCGGCGGCAGAGAGACAAUCAAAUAAGUGAAAGCCUGCCCAUGCAGCCUCUGCGUAGACGAGGGGAAAAGUUAAUUAAUUAGUAAUAGAGGCCUCCUUAGAUUUUUCUGGUGGCCUCCACGCCGCUACCUCGCCCGUAGUUCUGGCUGUUGAAGUACCGACGACUUCGAGUAAAACAGGCAUUUAUUCAUAACUUCUUCCUGCUACUUCUUUUGAGCAACAGUCACGUUUUUACUUCCCGUGUGGAUUUUUUUCUAGUAUGUUGUAGACCUCUUAGUCUAGAAGUGUAUUCUUCAAGGUGUUUUCUCUCGCCCUAGUACUGGUCAAGGUGCUGACGUCUUACUCAGCCCAUGUUAAGGCUUCACUUAACUUCAGUGUCUUGACAUCCUGGUCUCUAGAUGAACAUUGUCUCGAGAGCUUCAGAUAGAGAAGAAAGACUGAGUGUUUGUUUAGACGGGUGAGACAAAAUUUGGAAGGAGGGAAAUUGUUGGAAUUAGCUUGUAAGAUACUUUUAGCCAAAAUAAUAUGUCACUGCUCCAUUCUCCCUAAGCUCAUGUAAUUUUGUUUUAAGCACAGUUUCCAGAGCUAACAAAUUGACACCCCUAUCUAUUUUUUGUUGUAGGCUAACAAUUUUCGCCCUGACAUAUAAUUCAAAACUUAUUCAAUACCAAAGAUGUUACCAGAAUUUUAUUAUUGUUGUUGAGCAUGUCGUGCCAAGCUGAGAACCUGCUAAAUAUUGCUAAUACGAACACCCACCCACCCACCUACACACACACACACACACACACACACACACACACACAAGAAUAUAAGUGACAUAAGUAUCGCCUCAACCAACCAUCAUUCUUGCUUCAUGUAAAUAAGAAACGUAACAAACAAUAUUCAGUAGAGUUUCUUCUUAGUUAUUUUUCUGUAUACAUAAAAUAUCAAAUGGCACUUUUGUAGCGGCGUGAGAAGCAUUCAUAGUGUAAAGGCUUGUUAAGUUUGUCUUUUGUUUCUUCCAAAUUACAAAUUUCAUUCUUAAUCCAUGUGCAUCUUUGACAGGUUACAAAAGCAUGUCUUCGUCCUUUUCCUCGGCCGCCGCCCUGCACACUCGUCCCUUGACUCACGCUUGAGAUCAAUGCACAAUGUAAAGAUUCCAGACAAAAAUAUAUAAAGAUAAAUAAUCAAGCAAACAAGUGAUCAAAUAAAAAAUAAAGCGUUUAUAAGUUUAAAACACUAGAUGGAUGUUUAUUUUUUUAUCCGAGACGAGGAGUGUGACGCUUGUCUUCAACAGUAAAGGCAUACAUUCAUGCCAUCGUGUUGCACUGAUCAAAGAUCAUACAUUAAUUCGGACUGUGACCCUUGUCGGCACUACACAGAGGUGAUGCUGUCCAUCUCAGGAAGGUGAGCAGACCUUCUGCAUGUCACGUGGAGGGUCAAACCCUUGUCCUUACGUAAAGAACAGACAUGCUGAGGAGGCGGCUGUUCCUAGGUGACAUAAAUAAAACAUCAAUUACUCAUAAAAAAAUAAUAAACUCGUUUAACCCUCUCUUUGGGUCCAGUGUUCUCAGGCACAGAUUAAUAUGAUUUUGGCAUAUAAUGGAAUAUUGUGCCACAGCUUGAGAAGACGCUAAAAAUGUGUUGGUCAUGAAGACAGUCAUGUGCGAGUGAGGGCGCGGUGAAGAGUGGCCGCGGCGGGGUGGGCGUCGCCUGUGUUGCGUGCGGGGUAUCAUGUGGCCUACUCUUCCCUAAAUGAGAACAUUUAUGUCUCUGAAUAGCUGUUUUAAGACGUCAUCCUGCACGUAACCAAACAUGGUCUUUAUUCUUUCCAUAGUGCAUAAUUAUGGCGUUUCAAUGUGUAUAUAACUACUCAAACUUCACUCACUAUCUGUCCUUAGUUAUAUAUUAUUUUUCAUGCAAGAUGCUCCAUUUCACUUUUCACUGUAUAUCUACUUUUUUAGUGUAUGUAUCACCUACCUGUACUAUAGUCUGAAUAAUAUGUAAUAGAUUAUUACGAAUGAUGACUUACAUUCGUCCAUAAGAGACCCGGGCUGAUACAGAAGCAAUGAGUGUAAUUUUCAUCAUAGCUCUUGUAAAUGUAAUAGUAUUCUGCUAUCUAAACUAUAUGCUUCAAGGAAUAUGAAAAUAUGUAAAACUCUGAUGCCAAGUUUUCCACAAAUACAAAAACGUUUUGAGUAAUAAGUAGAUAAAACAUGAUUCAACGUGUGACCAAGAUCAGCACAAGGAUCAGUCUAGCUCUCUUCAGAUUAAUGUAACGAAAAAAGGCGGGUAGGUGGGGGCCUCGGUCGCGGCUCGCCUCAGCAGCGCCGCGGCUCUGGACCUCACCUGCUCUAAAAUAUAAAGAAAAACAAAACAA